UACGUAGGGUGCGAGCGUUAAUCGGAAUUACUGGGCGUAAAGCGUGCGCAGGCGGUGAUGUAAGACCGAUGUGAAAUUCCCGGGCUUAACCUGGGAACUGCAUUGGUGACUGCAUUGCUGGAGUAUGGCAGAGGGGGGUGGAAUUCCACGUGUAGCAGUGAAAUGCGUAGAGAUGUGGAGGAACACCGAUGGCGAAGGCAGCCCCCUGGGCCAAUACUGACGCUCAUGCACGAAAGCGUGGGGAGCAAACAGG
rnacentral:rRNA from 1 species